rnacentral:rRNA from 1 species
UUGUCGUCAGCUCGUGUCGUGAGAUGUUGGGUUAAGUCCCGCAACGAGCGCAACCCUUAUUGUUAGUUGCCAUCAUUUAGUUGGGCACUCUAGCAAGACUGCCGGUGACAAACCGGAGGAAGGUGGGGAUGACGUCAAAUCAUCAUGCCCCUUAUGACCUGGGCUACACACGUGCUACAAUGGGAAGUACAACGAGUCGCAAAGUCGCGAGGCUAAGCUAAUCUCUUAAAGCUUCUCUCAGUUCGGAUUGUAGGCUGCAACUCGCCUACAUGAAGCCGGAAUCGCUAGUAAUCGCGGAUCAGCACGCCGCGGUGAAUACGUUCCCGGGCCUUGUACACACCGCCCGUCACACCACGAGAGUUUGUAACACCCGAAGUCGGUGAGGUAACCUUUUGGAGCCAGCCGCCUAAGGUGGGAUAGAUGAUUGGGGUGAAGUCGUAACAAGGUAGCCGUAUCGGAAGGUGCGGCUGGAUCACCUCCUUUCUAAGGAA